AACUCAAUUUACAGCAGUAUAAAAUUAAGUGAAGGUUUUGUUUGUUUGUUUGUUUUAUACAACAGGAAGCUUGGAGGUAGGUGGCUACUGGUUGGUUCAGAGGCUCAACACCAAACAAGAUGGUUGCCUCAGCUUCAGGCAUCAUAUUGUGUUUAAAACAGCAGUAAAAGGCGAGAAGGAAACACAAGAGGGAAAGAAAAAUUUCCCCAGUAGUGAAAUGUGGAAUUUGGACUAGAUUAAUGUUCCCAAAAUACAGGCUCAUGGAACAGUGGCACAUGGGUGAUUUAAAAGAACACCUCAAGCUGUACUCCUGGAUAUCUGGGGAGAUCUGACCGAAAUUUCUUUCUACCAAUCUCACUGGGAAUAUCCUUCAAUGAAAAAGGAUCCAGAACUGUCAUGUCUCUAAAAGAGAAAGGAAGACAGGAUGGGAGAGGCAGAAGAAUCUGAGAUCCAGUCAAGCCUCAGCUAUACCCAGGUGCUCCAUGGAGUGAGGUCCCAGCUUAGUAAAGCCCAGGACCUAUUCUCAAAAGAAAGACUCAAGAGCGGAGAAAGCAGAGAAGGAGCUUCCGAAGAGAGAAAAUGUUUUCAUGAAAGAAAGCCAGAGGAGGGCCUCACGGGAAGUACUGUGAGUUUUUCUUUGGAGAUUCCAUUAUUACUUUAAUAGUUUUUUUCUGAUUACUAAAGUGAUGGAGGUCCUUUGUAUAAUAUUUAGAAAGUACAUGAAAGCACACAAAAGAAAAUAAAAAUCAUUCACUAUCUUAAAGAAAAGCA
rnacentral:lncRNA from 1 species